CUCUGUUCACGGAAAGGGCCUGGGAGCAGCAACACCUCAACAGCAACGAGCACACCUGCUACCUAGAACCUGGUUUCUAAAAACCAUCCUCCUCUAAAAGAAAACAGGGCUCUUUGAAGAAAUGCAUCAGAUCUCAUUAUGUUGCCCAGGGUGACCUUGAUCUCCUGGCCUCAAGUGAUGCUCCAACCUUGGCCUCCCAAAGUGCUGGGAUUACAGAUGGGAAUUACCGCACCCAGCCAAUGUGCAGAAGGUUUUCAGUUUGAUGUAGUCUGAUGUAAUCUUACCUAUUUAUUCUUGUUGUUGCCUGAACUUUUGGUGUGAUAUCCAAAAAUAUCAUUGUCAAGAUCAAUAUCAAGAAACUUCCUCCCCUAUGUUUCUUAUACAAAUUUUAUGGUUUCAGAUUUUUCAUCCACUUUAAUUUUAUGUAUGAUGUAAGAUGAGGGUCCAGUCUCCCCAGUGGUGGAUAUCCAAUUUUCCCAACACCAUUUAUUGAAGAAAUUAUUCUUUCUCCUUUCUCCAUUGUGUUUUCUUGAUGUUCUUGUCAAAAAUUAGUUGAGUUUUAUAUGCUUGGGUUUAUUUCUGGGCUCUCUAUUCUGUU
rnacentral:lncRNA from 1 species